AACUCUGAAUGCAGGUGCGCGGCGGAUGAAAUUGCACACCAACGCUGACGUGGAUUAAUGAAAUGGGCGCGUUUCACUGAAGCAGGAAGAUGAAAUUUCAUGUUUCUGGCCCUUUUCCUAUCUUUUGAUCUCCCUACACUUUCAAUCUCACUAAAUCCUCUCUGUUUUCGAGUCCCCCGUCUGCAACCCCUCACCGAGAGCACCUCUGCCAUCAAUCUCCCCCCAAACUGACUUUCGCAAGACCGAGCGGCUGUAAUACUCUGAACCCAUCUGGUGGUUUGUUCUUUGGGAGGGUUGUCUGAUCGUGGACUCUGUGGCGUAGAUCCGAGCCUCACGAAACCCUAGCCUUGAUUAACAGAUCCGAGGUGUUUGGAAAUCCUAAAUCCAACUUAACAGGUCUCUCUCUCUGUCCCUCUCUCUAUCUGGUGGUUUUGGUUAAUCGAUUUUGUAUAUAUUAUUCAGAGUUUUCCUAAGAUAUAUUGAUGGAUUCCUUUAGCUAUUAGAUCUGUACGUGUUGCUGCAAUCUAAUUGUGGUUUCUGUUUUAAUUUUUUAGGGUUACUUAGUGUGAGAAAAUUAUUUCUUUCAGUUAUGUCAACUCUUUUAAUGUUGAGACGCAAGAAAGUUUUGGUUUUCAUGUCCUGUUUGGCUACUGAGAAAUUGGAGAAGAAUAUAUAGCAACAGAAAAUUUGAAAUUAUAUUUUAAAAGAACAAAAUAGAGUUUAUCUUCUGGGUUGAUACAAAAUAAUUUUAAGUGAAAUUUAGCAUGCAUUAAAGUGCAGAAACUGACCAAUGCAUGUUUCUCGAAACCUUAAGAAUGCUGAGGGAUAAAAACACACAUAAAAUAAUUAAUAGAAUUUAACUCUGUUGUAGGUAUUGGUUAGGUUAUCUACUUCAUCAUCUCGAUGUAUAAAUUGUUCUGAACACAAAACAUAUACACCAAACUCAUUUAUUCAGCCAUGACAAACAAUUUAAUUUAUAUUUUAUAAUCUAUUUUUAUCAAUGCACUUCUAUAUAAACUAACCUUAAACAAUUUCUAAUAUCUUGGAAAAAUGCUUAUAUAUUUUUUACGAUUUCGUUUUGCAGUAAUAAUUUGUUUUACACUACAGAAACAUAUCUCCUUAUAGGCUACAGAGGCUAUAGAUGGAUGUAUAGGAAUGAACUGUAAUUUUAAUGUUUGAUAGUUUUGGCUUAAUUCUUUUUGUUCAUUUUGUCUUGCUUUUUCUUUCCUUGUUGGGUUGUUCAUUUUGAUAUGUCAGUGACAUCCAGUUGUGCGUAUUACAUUUGUACAAUCUGUUAGAAUUGUUCAUUUUGUUUUGUUCCUUUUUUCUUACAUUGUUUUUGAAUGCCAUUCUCAUGAGAAUUUGUGCUGCUGCUUUGGUUGCUUAUAAGGUGAAUGUGGUAGCUUUUGCACUCACUGGUGUAUGAGCAUGUGUGAAUAUCUGUUCUCCUAUUGGUGGUUAGAGGGUAUGAGUUGAAGAGAAGCAAAAAAUGGUUGUUGCCCCAGCUACUGUUUUUUGGUUUGGGGUAUUUAUUUGAGUGUUUAUAUAUAUAUAUAUAUAUAUAUAUUAAAACACUCACACUUGGCCCAUAAUAGUUGGUUGCGUUCAUCUGUGAAUUGGCCGUUGAGGUAUUUUCUUACGUGUUUGGAUUAGGGUCUGUUAUUUAUGGAUAAGAUGAAAUUUCAGUUUCUGUUUUUGUUCAUGACAUUAAGGCUCUUGUUACCCUUACACAUAUGCAGAAAGUCCAUGUAUGAGCUUUCUCUUGUAAUAAAAUAUUUUGGGCAGGACCAACUUGGUUGAUUAAUUUAUAUUAGGCCCAUUGUGUCAACCUGAAUCCCUCAUGUUGUUUGAAGAAAAGGUUUCAAGUGAAGAUUCUUCAUCUUCACUUGUUAAUCAUAUUUCCAAAAUCAUGUCAACGUGCACUUGUGGGUCACCCACAAAACUUAGAACAUCGAAUACGCUGAGGAAUCCGGGCCGAUCAUACUUUGGGUGUUCAAAAUAUAAUACGAAGGGGUUACCACACUGCAACUAUUUCAAAUGGGCAGAUAGUGGUCAUUAAAUAGAUAAAGAAAAUUUUCAACAUUGAAAUUGAGAUGUCUAGGAAGGAGGAAGAGCUUCAUGAAACUCUGGCAGCUCUUCGUCAAAUAGAGGAAGAAGUUCGAUCACGAGAGGAAGAGUUCCGACAAAGAAAGGAAGAGGUUCGAAAUGCCAUAGAAGAGGUUCGAGAAAUAGAGGCUAAAAUUGUCAAGAGGGAGUCCGUAGUGCGGCGUCAAUGCAAACAUCUAAGGGUCUAUUGUAUAAUUUGUAUUAUAUUUUAUUUGUACUUUAUAUGAUCACAGUGAAUAUCCUCUAAUCGUAAAACUUAGUGUAUAAUUUUGAGGAAUUGGGGACUUUUUGCUUUAGAACAAAAAUUUGGAAAUUCCAAAAUGUACAAGAAUUAGAUUACUGAAUUUUGGAACACUUGGGACAACAAAAUUGAACAUUGGCUAGUGAUCCACCUCCAAUGUUAGAUCUGAUUGUGUACUUGCUGACUAGU